rfam:Schistosoma haematobium scaffold9_33, whole genome shotgun sequence.
AAAUUACUGAGGAGUCCCAUACUAGGACGAAACGGCCGUCCAGUGC